rnacentral:tRNA from 1 species
GGGGAUAUAGCUCAAUGGGAGAGCAUCCGCCUUGCACGCGGAAGGUUGCCGGUUCAAGUCCGGCUAUCUCCA